rnacentral:rRNA from 1 species
AUACGUAGGGGGCGAGCGUUGUCCGGAAUGAUUGGGCGUAAAGAGUGAGCAGGCGGUUAAUUAAGUCUGAGGUUAAAGCGUGGGGCUCAACCCCAUAAAGCCUUGGAAACUGAUUGACUAGAGUACGGGAGAAGUGAAGGGAACUCCAUGUGUAGCGGUGAAAUGCGUAGAUAUAUGGAAGAACACCAGUGGCGAAGGCGCUUCACUAGCCCGAAACUGACGCUCAGUCACGAAAGCGUGGGUAGCAAAUAGGAUUAGAUACCCUAGUAGUCCACGCUGUAAACGAUGACAACUAAAUAUUGCCGCGAGGCAGUGUUGAAGCUAACGCAUUAAGUUGUCCGCCUGGGGAGUACGGUCGCAAGACUGAAACUUAAAGGAAUUGACGGGG